UUCCUUAACGAGCCACUUGAUGGCUGCGGCGACGCGGCCGCGGCCCGCAGGAAGGACCGGCGAGGGGGCGGCAGGAUGCCGAGGCGACGGGAGACCCCAGCCUGGGUGGCCAGGCUCAACCUCGACCCCCGGCUGGGCGCGGAGAGCACCUGCCCCGGCUACCGGGCGCCGGGCAGCGUCGGGCCAGAUGCGCGCUUCUGCAGGAAGCUUUUAACAAGAUGCAGCUGAGCGUGUCGAUAUCUUACAUCUUUUUACUGCUCUAUGGGCUGCUCAGCUACUUGAAGCUCCUCACUACUUCAGACAAGCACUGGCACCUUCCAGAGACAGUGUUCCCAGGCUUGAUUUACACUCACCGUUACAACUAUCCUUUGGUGCCCUCUGGAAAAACAUGGGACAUUGCAAGUAAAGGAAGACUCCAGAUCCACAAGGAACUCGGAGUCCUGAGGGUAAAGUUUGAGAACUUGUAGCAUCCUGGUUUCUUCUGCCCUCCUGGAUUCUCUUUGUCCGUGGGAGA